GCCAUUCUGGGGGGAGGGCCACUGGGCUCCCCAGCCUGGGAGGAGACUGUGGGCCCCCAGCCUGGGGCAGGAGGCGUGAGGGUCCCCAGCCUGGGAGGAGGCCAUUGGGAUCCCCAGUCUGGGAGGAGACUGUGGGCCCCCAGCCUGGGGUGGGAGGCGUGAGGGUCCCCAGCCUGGGGGGAGGGCUGCAGGGGGGGGCCAUUCUGGGGGGAGGGCCACUGGGCUCCCCAGCCUGGGAGGAGACUGUGGGCCCCCAGCCUGGGGCAGGAGGCGUGAGGGUCCCCAGCCUGGGAGGAGGCCAUUGGGAUCCCCAGUCUGGGAGGAGACUGUGGGCCCCCAGCCUGGGGCGGGAGGCGUGAGGGUCCCCAGCCUGGGAGGAGGCCAUUGGGAUCCCCAGUCUGGGAGGAGGGCUGUGGAGGUCCUCAAGCUUGCAGGGAGGCCUCAGGGGUCCCCAGCAUAUUUGGGGGUCUGCGUGCUGGAAGAGGGUUUUACAAAAGAGGCAAAGUGUUCUACCUCUAGAUUUUUUCCAUUUUUUUUUCCCCGUACAUCAAAACAUCUCAAAAUGGAGGCCUAACACCCUUAAAAGGGACUUAGUCUGAUCUCCGGGAGGUAGUUUUGUGCAUGAAGAAACAAAUUAAGUGUGAACUGGAGUUUUUAUUAUCCCAAAGGAUGUUAAUUUUAAGCAAUACAGUCUAGUGGCAUGAGGUGUAACUACGAAGUCAUGAUGAUCUCGUCUUUGAAUUUGACUGGUGGAUAUAAAGGGAAGUGAUUGUAGCCAGAACAGAACAGAGAGAAGGAACUUGUGUUUGGUAAGACCUGAAAAUGAGCAACAGUUAUCUAGAACAAUAUUCACCCCUCUACUAAGUUAGAGAAGCACGCAGGUGAGGCCUCUGACAGGUCAAGAGACUUCCAUGGUGACAAAGAAAUGUCCAGAACAAGACUUUGCGGUGCCCCAAGUGUCGAGUAUGGCACACUAGCAUGGACGAUUGGUAAAGGAAUGAUCUAAGCACUUAUCUGAAUGUGCAUGUGUUAAAAGUCUCAAGUUCGGCUUGUUUGAAUGGGCUGUUAUCUCUGAGAAGGAUGACGGUGAGAAUGAUGGCUGGAUGGUCCAUUUUGGGAAAAGAACAGACGCACGCAGACACAGUGACUAGCCCCGGAAGGGUUUCUGCAGUAAUGUGUAAAAUUUUUGUCCACUGCUGAUGUUAGACACAAUAACUGAUCUCUGGAACAGAGCUACGUUUCUUAUAUCACCUGGAAGUAAAGAGCCAAAGUCGCAGCGGAAACCCCAACACCUGUGGGACCCAGGAAACUGCGCAGAAAUCACGGCUAGAGAAGCCACGAAGACCCGUUUGCAGAUUGUUGUUCAUGUUACUGACACAGAAACUUUUUAUUGAUAGCUGGUCGUAAUUGAGGAACUCUGAACUUUCACAAGGUCUCUGUUUGGCAAAAGGAGGGGAUUGCGACAACGUAAAUUCAUUAUUUUCUUGUUGCGAUGAAUUCUGGCUCAAGGUAUGCUGUCUUGGGGAUUUCUGACCAAAGCCACAUUUUUACACUUCGAUUAUUCAUCUUAGUAUACAGACUCAGCCCUCUGACUUUUGACUGUUUUAAGAAACAAAUCCAUUGUCAGAAUAGAUUUGGUAGUGUCUUUCAACAGCGUGAAGCUGAGCCUAAAAAGACCAGUUGAACAAACACAUUCUUCUCUGAGGAUUUAUUUGAAAUACAGUAUUCAGUUUGCUAAGUUCUGCUGGAAUCACUAGGACUAAGUAAGCAAGCCUCUGACUAUGGGAAGUAAUUGUCGUUCAGGUAAUUUUGAAACAGGACUUAAGAUGCAUCAGCCAAUUCUGUUCCCACUUCAGCUCUUCAUUUGUAGGAAAAUUCUAGAUCGUUUUGUUUUCCCUAUUACAAAUAUUCUAGGAAGAAAAAUUACUUAAUUUGAGCACGAUUUGGGAUAGAUUGUAUUCCAUCGCAUCUAAGAUGUCACUAAUUGGAAAACACACCAUUAUUUUAUGUAGUUCCAAGAAAUAAAAGCCCUGCUAAUUAAAAUACGGUAUUUGUU
rnacentral:lncRNA from 1 species